AGCCCUGUGAGAAUUUUACUCCUUUCUAGAAAGAAAGGUUUGUCCCUCUGCUCCGCUGUGCCCUGCUCCCCUGCAGGACAGUCCUGCUCCCACAGGUGCAGCCUAUAAGCUCACAGGGCCAGUCUUAGUUUUGGUGAGCCUUUUCUGAAAGGAGCCCGCUAAAGGAACAACGGAGAAAGUCCUCUUUGUGAACGUGCAGUGGGCUGGGAAAUGCUGAUGGCACGCACAGUGGUGUAAUCACGGCGGCUGUGCAUGGCCACUGCCCAGGUAUGAAGGCCAGCUGGUUUAUGUCAGUCUCGGGGGUGGAGACUUUGCCCAGCUGGCAGAGGUGGGUCAGUGCCUCAGCUUAGACCUCACCUGCUUCUGAAUGGAGGAAGAGAAGGUCCAAUUGCUGAAAAGCAGACUUUCCGUGGGCCGCAGCCUCCAAACUCACAGACCUUCCUGAAGUUGCCUCUGAUAAAGCCCCGAGGGACGCUGGACACCCUGAGUCGCCAUGGGCAACGAGAACAGCACCUCAGACAACCAGAAGACUUCGUCAGCUCAGAGCCCAGGAUCCCUGCCAUCACCUGGGAACAGUCAGAAUACAAAGAAGAAGCCAGAGAAGGCCGGAAGCGCUGACCGUGGAGACUUGGCCAGGUAGGAGCCAGGUUCAGAGGACAACACAGCCCGAGGCAUGGCCAGCUCACGGCCCGCUCAGCAUGUGCUUUGCUCCAUUUGCUCUGAAAACUUUACCCUAAAACACAUGAUGUGUUCCUCAGUAGUGUGAUGUUAGGAACCGUGGUUCAGACCUUUUAGUGAAAGCCUGGA